rnacentral:rRNA from 1 species
GAUGAACGCUGGCGGCGUGCUUAACACAUGCAAGUCGAGCGAAGCACCUUGAUUUCUUCGGAAAGAUUGGUGACUGAGCGGCGGACGGGUGAGUAACGCGCGGGUAACCUGCCUCACACAGGGGGAUAACAGUUAGAAAUGACUGCUAAUACCGCAUAAGGCCACAGCACCGCAUGGUGCAGGGGUAAAAACUCCGGUGGUGUGAGAUGGACCCGCGUCUGAUUAGCUAGUUGGUGAGGUAACGGCUCACCAAGGCAACGAUCAGUAGCCGACCUGAGAGGGUGACCGGCCACAUUGGGACUGAGACACGGCCCAAACUCCUACGGGAGGCAGCAGUGGGGAAUAUUGCACAAUGGGCGAAAGCCUGAUGCAGCGACGCCGCGUGAAGGAUGAAGUAUUUCGGUAUGUAAACUUCUAUCAGCAGGGAAGAAAAUGACGGUACCUGACUAAGAAGCCCCGGCUAACUACGUGCCAGCAGCCGCGGUAAAAC